rnacentral:siRNA from 1 species
UGUGUAGAUUUGGAGAAUGGUAA